UUUCCGUAGGUGAACCUGCGGAAGGAUCAUUAUUGUAUAAUCGAGGCGUGAGGGCUGACGCUGACCCGAGAGGUUGUGCACGCCCGAGUGCCCUCACACACAUGCAUCACAUCCCUAUGUGCACCACCGUGUGGGUCCCGUUUUGGCUUGUUUGGUGGCGGGUUUACGUUUUCACACAAAUAUUGUAUGCAGUGUAGAAUGUAUUUUUUGUUUUUUCGAUGUCGCAAUCAAUAAACAUUUCAACAACGGAAACCUUAGUUCUCGCAUCGAUGAAGAAAU
rnacentral:misc_RNA from 1 species